rnacentral:rRNA from 1 species
GUAGUCUCGCACAGAUGCAUAUCAAUAAGCGGAGGAAAAGAAACUAACAAGGAUUCCCUCAGUAACGGCGAGUGAAGCGGGAAGAGCUCAAAUUUGAAAUCUUGAAAGGUCACCUUUCACGAAUUGUAGUUUAAAGAAGUGUUUUCUGUUACGAUCGUAAUAUAAGUUCUUUGGAAUAGGACAUCACAGAGGGUGAGAAUCCCGUCUAUGAUUGCGAUUUGUAGCUUUGUGAUACACUUUCAAAGAGUCGGGUUGUUUGGGAAUGCAGCCCAAAACGGGAGGUAAAUUUCUUCUAAGGCUAAAUAUUGGCGAGAGACCGAUAGCGAACAAGUACCGCUGAGGGAAAGAUGAAAAGAACUUUGAAAAGAGAGUUAAAUAGUACGUGAAAUUGUCAAAAGGGAAGCGUUUGACACCAGUGUUGUUUUCUGAAAAUCAACCUCUGUUAGCUUUAUGCAUGUUUGUUUAGACCUAAUCAGCUAUCUUGCAUGUUCUAUUGUUUGCAGUGGUGCACUUUUCAGUUUACAGGUCAACAUCAGUUUUUUUUUACCGUAAAAAAGUUAAAGAAAGGUAGCUCAUGGCUCCGGUCGUGAGUGUUAUAGUCUUUUUCCUAUGCGGUAGGAGAGACUGAGGUCUGCAGUGUAGGCUAUUUGGCUAGAUACUCAGGUGCUAUGUGAUACCAUUUCAUAAACAACUUGUUGAUUAUGUUUUGUCUAUUGCAUACUCGCUUGUACUAUCAUACCUACGCUUAGGAUGUUGAAGAUGUAGCACAUCAU